rnacentral:lncRNA from 1 species
CUGUUCAUGUGUCUUACAAUAACUUUUCGCUCUUAUUCGUACGACUCUUUAUUCAGGAUUUCGUUCACAAAACCAGAAUUUUGAAGGCAGUUGUAUUUUUCUGCACAUGCAAGCUCCAAUCAAUUUAAAUAAUUUUUAAAUCAAACGAAAUUUUUAAUAUUAGGGAGCACAAAUCCUGUCUUUAAAGUAGACAGGUGGGAAUUCUCCUUAAAAUGCCUGAAAUAGUUUUGACCUAAUUCCCAUAAUUUGGACAAGUUGAAAUAUUGUGUCGCCCCCUUAAAUGAAUCUGGAAGGCAAAUAGCUGGUUAUUUUGAUAAUUCAAAUAUAAAUGGAUUAAAACAAUAGGAUAAUCAUUUUAUCUAGUAUAAAAAUCUGAAACUUCUAUCGUAGGUUCAUAUGAUCCACAUUUUUCUCAAUAAUUGUUUUUGCCUAGAAUCAAAAACUUUUGCGUAAACAAUAAUUAAACUUGAUGACUCACUCGGAGGUUUAGGAUAUUAAGACUCUUACCGUAAGAGCCUUAUUCUUACGAAUUUGUUUAUUUCUUAAGUCUAAAUUUUGGUAAUUGAUCAUUUUGCACGUCAAAGCGCUCGAUACAUUCCCAUUCAAACCAGAGUUUUUAUUCAAUUUCA